rnacentral:rRNA from 1 species
GCUGACGAGUGGCGGACGGGUGAGUAAUGCGUAGGAAUCUACCUUUAAGUGGGGGAUAACCUGGGGAAACUUAGGCUAAUACCGCAUAAUAUCGAUAGAAGAAAGCAGGGGACCUUAGGGCCUUGCGCUUUUAGAUGAGCCUACGUUGGAUUAGCUUGUUGGUGGGGUAAAGGCCUACCAAGGCAACGAUCCAUAGCUGGUCUGAGAGGACGACCAGCCACACUGGGACUGAGACACGGCCCAGACUCC